rnacentral:rRNA from 1 species
GACGAACGCUGGCGGCGUGCUUAACACAUGCAAGUCGAACGGAAAGGCCCUGCUUUUGUGGGGUGCUCGAGUGGCGAACGGGUGAGUAACACGUGAGUAACCUGCCCUUGACUUUGGGAUAACUUUAGGAAACUGGGGCUAAUAUCGGAGAGGAGCUCCUGCUGCAUGGGGGUGGUUGGAAAGUUCCGGCGUUGGGGGAUGGACUCGCGGCUUACCAGCUGGUUGGUGAGGUAGUGGAUGACCACGGCUUUGACGGGUAGCCCGCAUGGGAGAGUUGACGGCCUCCAUGCUCCUGCGAGACGCCCCAGUAUCCAACGGGAGGCAGCGGUGGGGAACCUUACGCAAUAGGCCGGAGCGUGAUGCGACAGCCCCGCGUGCGUAAUGCCGUCCUUCGGGUUGUAAACAGCUUUGGCCUGUGCCGAAGCGUGAGUGACGGUACUGGGUCAGGAAGCCCCGGCUAACUACGUG